rnacentral:rRNA from 1 species
GACGAACGCUGGCGGCGUGCUUAACACAUGCAAGUCGAACGGAAAGGCCUGCUUUCCCUUGUGGAUUGCGGGUACUCGAGUGGCGAACGGGUGAGUAACACGUGAGUGAUCUGCCCCCAACUUGGGUAUAAGCCUGGGAAACUGGGUCUAAUUCCCGAUAGGACUGCAGGGUGGUGCCUGUGGUGGAAAACGAUUUUCUAGUGGUUGGGGAUGAGCUCGCGGCCUAUCAGCUUGUUGGUGGGGUAAUGGCCUACCAAGGCGGCGACGGGUAGCCGGCCUGAGAGGGUGGACGGCCACAUUGGGACUGAGAUACGGCCCAGACUACUACGGGAGGAAGCAGUGGGGAAUAUUGCACAAUGGGCGGAAGCCUGAUGCAGCGACGCCGCGUGGGGGAUGACGGCCUUCGGGUUGUAAACUCCUUUCGACCGCGAGGAAGCCACCUGGUUGGAAGGGUGGUGACGGUAGUGGUAGAAGAAGCACCGGCUAACUACGUG